CAAAGCCUGCUCAAGGGAAUUUCUGUCAGAUUUGUGUUUAAGGUAAUGACAGAAGUUAUUAAGUUAGAUGACUCUUAUAAAUAUUAAGGGAAGUUGCUUUACCCUAAGCAUGGAUGCUACUUCUUCCUUUGUGAUGCAUCCUGAUCGAUCUGUAUCAUACAUCUGUUGGCAAAAAAUAAAAGAAGGUAUAAUUAGCCAAGAAUCAGUACUUUCUUCAUAAUUACUUUGUUGAAGCAUCAGAAAAAAGCUAUUGCCUGAGCUUCCCAGUUCAUUUAGGUGGAAGAUUCAAUGUAUAUUUUUGGAGAUGGUAAUUACGACAUGAAUUUUACAAAGGAUUUGGACAGGAGUUUAUUUGCUUCUGCUGGUUGCCCAGAAGGCAGAGACAGAGAACAUGCUCAAAUACAUGACACAUGUUUCUGUUGCUGAAGAUUUUGCAGGCGGGAAAAAGAAAUGCACCUGGAAGCACAGACGAAGAGCAUCAUCUCCACGAGAAUUCCUGAGGCUGGAAAAUCCACACAAUAUCUCCCUCAUGUCAACCGUUCCAUCACGGUUGUUAUCAAAUAGAUCAAAGAUACGUGGUGCUAAAGGCACUAGCGAUGACAUAUUCAUUGCUUUCAGCACCUCCUCAAAUUCAGUUAGAGUCGCAUUGUCACCAUUUGCACAUCUGCACUCAAAUAGACAUCCUAUCAGACUCUGUAAAAUAGUUUCUAAUAAUAGAGCUCAAUGCUUAGAAAGUUCAUGGUAUAGUUUAGCUUAAAAGAAGAAUUGCGUUUGUAGGUUUUUGUAUAGGAAAACUAGACAGAAUAGUUUGAUUGCUUACAUUUUCUUAAAAUGUACCCGGAGAUUCUCAAUUUCUGCCUCUGUAAGGUCAUGGGAACCUAACAAAGUUCUCAGCUUCUUUGUUCUCAAGAAAAAUGUGCAGCUCAACACACUGGCUAUUGCUGCAGCACGAAGCUUGCGACGGGCAUUAAAACUCUGCAGUCGUGAAACUAUUUCUGCAUCCAUUUGCUCCUCCUUUGCCGAAUCACCAAUCACCCAUGGAUGAUUCAGGAGCUGUUUGAUUUAACAUAUAGAUUGGGUUAAGUUUUAGGGGAUAUUAGGUCUAAUACUUAUUCAGGGCGAAGCAAACUGUGUAUCAAACUAAUUUUUUAUUUUUUCUCUCCUAUUUAAUUUUAAUCA